AAAGACAAACAGCGCUAGUACAGAGCAUGUAUUUAACUGUACAAGGGUUUGUUUGUGUUUGA
rnacentral:pre_miRNA from 1 species